rnacentral:rRNA from 1 species
AAUUUUCGGCAAUGGGGGCAACCCUGACCGAGCGACGCCGCGUGAGUGAAGAAGGCCNNNGGGUCNUCAAGCUCUGUCCUAAGNGACNAAACGGACGGUACCUUAGGAGGAAGCCCCGGCUAACUACGUGCCAGCAGCCGCGGUAAUACGUAGGGGGCGAGCGUUAUCCGGAAUUACUGGGCGUAAAGGGUGCGUAGGCGGCCUUUUAAGUCAGAUGUGAAAGGCUACGGCUUAACCGUAGUUAGCAUUUGAAACUAAAAGGCUUGAGUGCAGGAGAGGAGAGUGGAAUUCCUAGUGUAGCGGUGAAAUGCGUAGAUAUUAGGAGGAACACCAGUGGCGAAGGCGACUCUCUGGACUGCAACUGACGCUGAGGCACGAAAGCGUGGGGAGCGAAC